UAUAUUUAUUGUUAUUGAAAGUAAGUUUAGUGCUUUUUUACAUCUCUCUUAUUUAUUGUAGAAGUAAGUGAGCAGGAUCCAUGGACAGCAGGUCAUCUCCCGGUCCUUCCACCUCUUCCCAGUACCACCAGUGGAAGAGGAAGAGAGGGACAUGCGGACAGUAUGGAGAAGAGCACUCAUCAUCUGGAUCUCCAAGCCCCUGCAAAUGGAGAAGAGGACGGAUCAUCAGCGAGGUGAAGGCUCCCUUCCUGCAGCGGAAGGAGUGGGUGGCUUUUU